rnacentral:lncRNA from 1 species
AUGAUCUGCACCUCGACCUCAUCUCCGAUUCAACUUCAACGACACGGCUUCGUCUCUGCGAAAGACCGCUCAACGAAUUUCGGAUUUCGGAUUUCAUUCGCACAAACGAGAUUCACAUUAUGCCAGCAAGAUCAAUGGAGAAAACAUCAAAAACAUAGGAAGAGUGAUUUACCUAUCAGAGACGCUCGGACGACGGCUCUAAUGGAAGAAUCGGAAACAACUCAGAUAUGCGUGAAGAUUUGGUUAUGGCGAUGUGAAAUCGAAUUUGAUGAAUAA